UACGAAGGGGGCUAGCGUUGCUCGGAAUCACUGGGCGUAAAGGGUGCGUAGGCGGGUCUUUAAGUCAGGGGUGAAAUCCUGGAGCUCAACUCCAGAACUGCCUUUGAUACUGAGGAUCUUGAGUACGGGAGAGGUGAGUGGAACUGCGAGUGUAGAGGUGAAAUUCGUAGAUAUUCGGAAGAACACCAGUGGCGAAGGCGGCUCACUGGACCGGCAUUGACGCUGAUGUGCGAAAGCGUGGGGAGCAAACAGG
rnacentral:rRNA from 1 species